rnacentral:rRNA from 1 species
AAUAUUGGGCAAUGGGCGAAAGCCUGACCCAGCAACGCCGCGUGAGGGAAGAAGGCCUUCGGGUCGUAAACCUCUGUCGCAGGGGACGAGAAGAAGACGGUACCCUGCGAGGAAGCCCCGGCUAACUACGUGCCAGCAGCCGCGGUAAUACGGAGGGGGCAAGCGUUGUCCGGAAUGCCUGGGCGUAAAGGGCGCGUAGGUGGCCUUACAAGUUUGGAGUGAAAGUCCCGCUUUCAAGGUGGGAAUUGCUUUGAAGACUGUAGGGCUUGAGUGUGGGAGAGGAUAGCGGAAUUCCCGGUGUAGCGGUGAAAUGCGUAGAGAUCGGGAGGAACACCAGUGGCGAAGGCGGCUAUCUGGACCAAGACUGACACUGAGGCGCGAAAGCGUGGGUAGCAAAC